CGUAAACGAUGUGUGCUAGACGUUGGAAAUUAGUUUUCAGUGUCGCAGCAAAAGCGUUAAGCACACCGCCUGGGGAGUACGACCGCAAGGUUAAAACUCAAAUGAAUUGACGGGGACCCGCACAAGUAGUGGAGCAUGUGGUUUAAUUCGAAGAUACGCGCAGAACCUUACCAACACUUGACAUGUUCGUCGCGACUCUAAGAGAUUAGAGUUUUCGGUUCGGCCGGACGAAACACAGGUGCUGCAUGGCUGUCGUCAGCUCGUGUCGUGAGAUGUUGGGUUAAGUCCCGCAACGAGCGCAACCCUUACUUUUAGUUGCUACCAUUUAGUUGGGCACUCUAAAAGAACUGCCAGUGAUAAGCUGGAGGAAGGCGGGGAUGACGUCAAGUCCUCAUGGCCCUUAUGUGUUGGGCUACACACGUGCUACAAUGGUACCCACAGUGAGAAGCGAAGAGGCGACUCUAGGCCAACCUCUAAAAGGUACCUCAGUUCGGAUUGUACUCUGCCACUCGAGUACAUGAAGCUGGAAUUACUAGUAAUCGCGGAUCAGCGCGCCGCGGUGAAUACGUUCCCGGGUCUU
rnacentral:rRNA from 1 species